rnacentral:rRNA from 1 species
CCUACGGGAGGCAGCAGUGGGGAAUAUUGGACAAUGGGCGAAACCUGAUCCAGCCAUGCCGCGUGUGUGAAGAGGUCUUCGGAUUGUAAGCACUUUAAGUUGGGAGGCGUUACCGACAGAAUAAGCACCGGCUAACUCUGUGCCAGCAGCCGCGGUAAUACAGAGGGUGCAAGCGUUAAUCGGAAUUACUGGGCGUAAAGCGCGCGUAGGUGGUUUGUUAAGUUGAAUGUGAAAGCCCCGGGCUCAACCUGGGAACUGCAUCCAAAACUGGCAAGCUAGAGUAUGGUAGAGGGUGGUGGAAUUUCCUGUGUAGCGGUGAAAUGCGUAGAUAUAGGAAGGAACACCAGUGGCGAAGGCGACCACCUGGACUGAACUGACACUGAGGUGCGAAAGCGUGGGGAGCAAACAGGAUUAGAUACCCUUGUAGUC